GAUGAACGCUGGCGGCGUGCCUAAUACAUGCAAGUCGAGCGAACGGACGAGAAGCUUGCUUCUCUGACGUUAGCGGCGGACGGGUGAGUAAUACGUGGAUAACCUACCUAUAAGACUGGGAUAACUUCGGGAAACCGGAGCUAAUACCGGAUGAUAUAUUGAACCGCAUGUUUCAAUAGUGAAAGACGGUUUUGCUGUCACUUAUAUAUGGAUCCGCGCUGCAUUAGCUAGUUGGUAAGGUAACGGCUUACCAAGGCAACGAUGCAUAGCCGACCUGAGAGGGUGAUCGGGCACACUGGAACUGAGACACGGUCCAGACGCCUACGGGAGGCAGCAGUAGGGAAUCUUCCGGAAUGGGCGAAAGCCUGACGGAGCAACGCCGCGUGAGUGAUGAAGGUCUUCGGAUCGUAAAACUCUGUUAUUAGGGAAGAACAGAGGUGUAAGUAACUAUGCACGUCUUGACGGUACCUAAACAGAAAGCCACGGCUAACUACGUG
rnacentral:rRNA from 1 species